GAUGAACGCUGGCGGCGUGCCUAAUACAUGCAAGUCGAGCGAACGGACGAGAAGCUUGCUUCUCUGAUGUUAGCGGCGGACGGGUGAGUAACACGUGGAUAACCUACCUAUAAGACUGGGAUAACUUCGGGAAACCGGAGCUAAUACUGGAUGAUAUUUUGAACCGCAUGGUUCAAAAGUGAAAGACGGUCUUGCUGUCACUUAUAGAUGGAUCCGCGCUGCAUUAGCUAGUUGGUAAGGUAACGGCUUACCAAGGCAACGAUGCAUAGCCGACCUGAGAGGGUGAUCGGCCACACUGGAACUGAGACACGGUCCAGACUCCUACGGGAGGCAGCAGUAGGGAAUCUUGCACAAAGGGCGAAAGCCUGACGGAGCAACGCCGCGUGAGUGAUGAAGGUCUUCGGAUCGUAAAACUCUGUUAUUAGGGAAGAACAUAUGUGUAAGUAACUGUGCACAUCUUGACGGUACCUAAUCAGAAAGCCACGGCUAACUACGUG
rnacentral:rRNA from 1 species